CGACUCUGAUCGCUUCACUAACUUCAAGAAUUUGACCAAAGACAACGAAUUUCUGUACAGAGGAGUGAUGAGCGAUUGUGAGGUCAAUUCUUCCCUUUGUGCAAAAAACGAAAUCUGUGUUCCCAAUUAUAAAGACAACACUGCAGAAUGCAAAUGUCGUUAUGCAUCUGGAUAUACUGGAAAACCAUGCGAAGCACAAAGCUGCCAGCAGCUCCUUAAAGAUGGCUUCAAUUCCAGUG